rnacentral:rRNA from 1 species
UACGUAGGGACCAAGCGUUGUUCGGAUUUACUGGGCGUAAAGCGCACGUAGGCGGCUUUCUAAGUCAGGGGUGAAAUCCUGGAGCUCAACUCCAGAACUGCCUUUGAUACUGGAGAGCUUGAGUCCGGGAGAGGUGAGUGGAACUCCGAGUGUAGAGGUGAAAUUCGUAGAUAUUCGGAAGAACACCAGUGGCGAAGGCGGCUCACUGGCCCGGUACUGACGCUGAGGUGCGAAAGCGUGGGGAGCAAACAGG